rnacentral:rRNA from 1 species
ACUCCUACGGGAGGCAGCAGUGGGGAAUUUUGGACAAUGGGCGCAMGCCUGAUCCAGCCAUGCCGCGUGAGUGAAGAAGGCCUUCGGGUUGUAAAGCUCUUUCGGCAGGAACGAAAUGGUUCGUGCUAAUACCACGGACUGAUGACGGUACCUGAAGAAGAAGCACCGGCUAACUACGUGCCAGCAGCCGCGGUAAUACGUAGGGUGCAGGCGUUAAUCGGAAUUACUGGGCGUAAAGCGUGCGCAGGCGGUUUCUUAAGUCAGAUGUGAAAGCCCCGGGCUUAACCUGGGAACUGCGUUUGAAACUGGGAGACUUGGGUGUAGCAGAGGGGGGUGGAAUUCCACGUGUAGCAGUGAAAUGCGUAGAUAUGUGGAGGAACACCGAUGGCGAAGGCAGCCCCCUGGGUUAACACUGACGCUCAGGCACGAAAGCGUGGGGAGCAAACAGGAUUAGAUACCCUGGUAGUCCACGCCCUAAACUAUGUCAACUGGUUGUCGGGGGAUUAAUUCCCUUGGUAACGAAGCUAACGCGUGAAGUUGACCGCCUGGGGAAUACGGCCGCAAGGUUAAAACUCAAAUGAAUUGACGG